rnacentral:sRNA from 1 species
AUGGCUGUGGAUAUACUCUAGAAAAGGAGUGAAACUUGGAAACACUAAAAAACUGAAGGGUGAAAGCUGAAUGAGAAUGCCUGAAACCAAACCGUUAACAAGGAAUGAUAGUGAAGUUAAGGAAUUAGCACAUUCUAGCCCCCAGGAUAACCAGAAUGAUCAGAUGUCUUUCUUUAUAGUACUGUUGCCCAGAAAUGGUUGAAUACCAGAAGAAAGGAAAGUCCCUGGAUUCAGAACCCAGUGUCCCAUCAGCAGCAAAGCCGCCAUCCCCUGAGAAAACAGCUCCUGUUGCUUCCACACCCUCUUCUACGCCUAUUCCUGCUCUGUCACCACCUACCAAAGUACCAGAGCCAAAUGAGAACGUGGGUGAUGCCGUCCAGACCAAACUCAUUAUGCUUGUAGAUGACUUCUACUAUGGACGGGAUGGUGGCAAAGUAGCCCAGCUCACAAAUUUCCCUAAGGUCGCCACAUCUUUCCGAUGCCCACAUUGUACCAAAAGGCUAAAAAACAAUAUUCGAUUCAUGAACCAUAUGAAACACCACGUAGAACUCGAUCAGCAGAACGGUGAGG